GGAGCGUUCUGUAAGCCUGCGAAGGUGUGCUGUGAGGCAUGCUGGAGGUAUCAGAAGUGCGAAUGCUGACAUAAGUAACGAUAAAGCGGGUGAAAAGCCCGCUCGCCGGAAGACCAAGGGUUCCUGUCCAACGUUAAUCGGGGCAGGGUGAGUCGACCCCUAAGGCGAGGCCGAAAGGCGUAGUCGAUGGGAAACAGGUUAAUAUUCCUGUACUUGGUGUUACUGCGAAGGGGGGACGGAGAAGGCUAUGUUGGCCGGGCGACGGUUGUCCCGGUUUAAGCGUGUAGGCUGGUUUUCCAGGCAAAUCCGGAAAAUCAAGGCUGAGGCGUGAUGACGAGGCACUACGGUGCUGAAGCAACAAAUGCCCUGCUUCCAGGAAAAGCCUCUAAGCAUCAGGUAACAUCAAAUCGUACCCCAAACCGACACAGGUGGUCAGGUAGAGAAUACCAAGGCGCUUGAGAGAACUCGGGUGAAGGAACUAGGCAAAAUGGUGCCGUAACUUCGGGAGAAGGCACGCUGAUAUGUAGGUGAAGUCCCUUGCGGAUGGAGCUGAAAUCAGUCGAAGAUACCAGCUGGCUGCAACUGUUUAUUAAAAACACAGCACUGUGCAAACACGAAAGUGGACGUAUACGGUGUGACGCCUGCCCGGUGCCGGAAGGUUAAUUGAUGGGGUCAGCGCAAGCGAAGCUCUUGAUCGAAGCCCCGGUAAACGGCGGCCGUAACUAUAACGGUCCUAAGGUAGCGAAAUUCCUUGUCGGGUAAGUUCCGACCUGCACGAAUGGCGUAAUGAUGGCCAGGCUGUCUCCACCCGAGACUCAGUGAAAUUGAACUCGCUGUGAAGAUGCAGUGUACCCGCGGCAAGACGGAAAGACCCCGUGAACCUUUACUAUAGCUUGACACUGAACAUUGAGCCUUGAUGUGUAGGAUAGGUGGGAGGCUUUGAAGUGUGGACGCCAGUCUGCAUGGAGCCGGCCUUGAAAUACCACCCUUUAAUGUUUGAUGUUCUAACGUGGACCCGUGAUCCGGGUUGCGGACAGUGUCUGGUGGGUAGUUUGACUGGGGCGGUCUCCUCCUAAAGAGUAACGGAGGAGCACGAAGGUUGGCUAAUCCUGGUCGGACAUCAGGAGGUUAGUGCAAUGGCAUAAGCCAGCUUGACUGCGAGCGUGACGGCGCGAGCAGGUGCGAAAGCAGGUCAUAGUGAUCCGGUGGUUCUGAAUGGAAGGGCCAUCGCUCAACGGAUAAAAGGUACUCCGGGGAUAACAGGCUGAUACCGCCCAAGAGUUCAUAUCGACGGCGGUGUUUGGCACCUCGAUGUCGGCUCAUCACAUCCUGGGGCUGAAGUAGGUCCCAAGGGUAUGGCUGUUCGCCAUUUAAAGUGGUACGCGAGCUGGGUUUAGAACGUCGUGAGACAGUUCGGUCCCUAUCUGCCGUGGGCGCUGGAGAACUGAGGGGGGCUGCUCCUAGUACGAGAGGACCGGAGUGGACGCAUCACUGGUGUUCGGGUUGUCAUGCCAAUGGCACUGCCCGGUAGCUAAAUGCGGAAGAGAUAAGUGCUGAAAGCAUCUAAGCACGAAACUUGCC
rnacentral:rRNA from 1 species